rnacentral:sRNA from 1 species
GCAUGGUGAAGGAAGGUGUGUGGCUGGGGUGCGGCCCAGCGGGGCAAGGGUAGGCUUGAGUGGAGUGGGACCACAGGGCCCCCAGGCUUCUGCCCUGGAGGACCCAAAGGAGGGCACGUGAGGUCCCACCCCGCAUCUGCCUUGGGGAGGUCUAUGAGCACAUGCAGUGCCUUUGUGCGUGUUGGGAGAGCUACCUCCUCUGGAAGGACUAAAUGAGAAAGGAAGUUUAAAAAAGAAAGAAAGAAAAGUUACUCCCUCUAGUUUGACAGAUCAAAGAGAGGAGCCCCUUCUCGGCUGACCAGAUGGGAAAAUGCACCCCCUCAGGCAGGUGGCCAAUUAGAAAAAUGUGUCCUUCUGGCAGCUGCAACCCUGGGUUAAUAUGUGAGACUUGGCAAGCGAGAGCCUGGGCAGGAUCUCAGAUCCACUCCCACUCCCGGGAUCUGGCAUCCAAGUGUCUGACACAGCCGUAUGUGGCAGUGGGUGCAGGACCCUGCCUGGGGUGCUGACCCCACUGGACCGUCCUCCUAGUUCCAGGAGCUAGUGCUGCCCCGCUUUGGGAAGGAAGAUGCUGGGGAUGUACAGCAGUUCUACGACCUGCUCUCCGGUUCUCU